UACAGAGGUCUCGAGCGUUAGGCGGAAUCACUGGGCUUAAAGCGUGUGUAGGCGGAUCGGUAAGUACCUUGUGAAAUCCCACAGCUUAACUGUGGAACUGCUUGGUAUACUGCCAGUCUUGAGCCAGCUAGGGCUACCGGAACAAAUGGUGGAGCGGUGAAAUGCGUAGAUAUCAUUUGGAACGCCAAUGGUGAAAACAGGUAGCUGGGGCUGUGCUGACGCUGAGACACGAAAGCCAGGGGAGCAAACGGG
rnacentral:rRNA from 1 species